rnacentral:lncRNA from 1 species
UCUCCAGAGGACUCUGAAGUCCUCCUGGUUCCCCAGUCUCCAUUGAGUUUCCCUAGUUUCAGAUUAGACCUGCUUUUUUCAUUCAGAACAGUAGUUUCAUUUCUCAAGGCAGCAUUUUCCUCUUGGAGCCUCUCAGGUUCGUAUCUCACAGGCUCUUUUGCUGGAUCUCGCUGCACGUGACUUGCCGGCCAGGCAUCAUCAACCUCUGCUCUUCCUUUCCUCCCCGUGAGGAGGCCUGGGAUGACAACUCUCUCCAACUUCAUCAGCUCCUGUAAAGUUUUUCUCCAGCUCUAAUUCUGUUGUGAGGGCCUGAAGCAGAAAUGUUUACCUUGGAGGCCUGGAAAAGCAAUGCAUUCCCCCGUAUAACUUGAUUCUGUACUCUUGGCUUUCCUUGAUGAGUCUGAAUUGUUCCAUGUAACCAGGAAAUCUCAUAUACUGACACUAAGAGCCUUGCACUCUGACUUGCUGAAGGUACUGGUUUUCUUAUUUACACUCCUUUACAAUAUGGGGCACAUUCAUAAGUUUGGACACACAUUUUUUUUCUGUGUUUAAUUAAAUUCAAGUACCUUUCAUCAGAUUCAAUUUCCAAGAUACCUAAAUGGGCUUCCCAGAAGGAACAGCAAUCGCAGUGCA